rnacentral:lncRNA from 1 species
UAGAAACCGUGGUAGACUAUAUAAACCGCAAAGUGACUACAAGCAAGACUGGUCUUUUUUUUGUACAUAUGCCCCACCUAAAAUUAUCUAAACAAACUAAGUACGGUAAUACAAAGGCGGGAAUUGGAGAAAUGGCGGAGGCUGUCACAUGGAGACGCUGCCAGAACUAGACGCUUUUGCCGGGAGUUUUAAAAUAACACUGAAGGAACUGCCGGUUUCGGGUGGCACAAACAUCAAAGUUCGAAUUUCUUCGCCGAAUUGAAGAGAUUCCACACCGACUUCUUCUAUUUUUUGGCUGCAAUUCGCGGAUCUAACCUCAGUGGCAAUACUUGUUGGCUCCAUGAGAAGAUCUAGUCAAAUUAAUCACAAAAUAAACGAACAAAACCAAACAAACUGAAAUUUGAGCGAAAACAUG